AUUGAACGCUGGCGGCAGGCCUAACACAUGCAAGUCGAGCGGAUGAAGGGUGCUUGCUCCUGGAUUCAGCGGCGGACGGGUGAGUAAUGCCUAGGAAUCUGCCGGGUAGUGGGGGAUAACGUCCGGAAACGGGCGCUAAUACCGCAUACGUCCUGAGGGAGAAAGUGGGGGGUCUUCGGACCUCACGCUAUCAGAUGAGCCUAGGUGGGAUUAGCUAGUUGGUGGGGUAAGGGCCUACCAAGGCGACGAUCCGUAACUGGUCUGAGAGGAUGAUCAGUCACACUGGAACUGAGACACGGUCCUGACUCCUACGGGAGGCAGCAGUGGGGAAUAUUGGACAAUAGGCGAAAGCCUGGUCCAGCCAUGCCGCGUGUGUGACGAAGGUCUUCGGAUUGUAAAGCACUUUAAGUUGGGAGGAAGGGCAGUAAGUUGAGACCUUGCUGUUUUGACGGUACCAACAGAAUAAGCACCGGCUAACUUCGUG
rnacentral:rRNA from 1 species